AAUUUUACUUUAUUUUAUUAAAUAUUUAAUUUUAAAAGAGUUUUGGCCUUUGAGAGACAUUCUGUUCUUCAGCUUCUACAGCCUGAGCGCGUAUUUGCCUUUUCGUAAUCGGCUUAAUCAAUACAUAUCUUUAAACUGAGUCUGGUUUCAUGGUUGGUUCAAUGCCUACUGUUAACUCUUCUCAGUGGCAAGAGAAGGCUAGUGGUUUUUUUUCUUCGUCAGGUGUGAAGCUGAAAGAAGCUGGACAUUCAGCUGGAAAUUUUGUUGAGGAAGUUGCUAAGGAUGCAAAAGGAAAUGCUGCUGAUGUGGCUGAACGGGUUGGUACUUUGUUCAAGAGCCGAUGGGCACUCCUCCAACAGCCAGCUACCAGACAUGCUGUGCAAGAACGUCUAAUAUCUGCUGCUGCUACUACGGGCACAUUCUUCAGAAAAGGUGUAUCAGAGACAAAGGACAAGGUUGUUGUGGGGAAAGUUAAAGUUGAAGAGGUUGCAAAAAAGACUGCACAAAAGAGCAAGACAAUUUUGACAGAUAUUGAACGAUGGCAGAAGGGGGUUGCCAGUACUGAUGUAUUUGGAGUUUCAAUUGAGGUAACCGUGCAAAAACAACAGUCAAGCAGGGUUAUUCCACAUAUUUUGGUUAGGUGUGCCGAUUAUCUCGUCUUGUCAGGAUUAAACUCACCAUGGUUGUUCAAAUCUGACGGAGAUAAAAAGGUUCUUCAGCAGUUGGUGUCUAUGUAUAAUCAAGAUCCAAAUGCUCCCUUACCUGAGGGUACAAAUCCAGUUGAUGUAGCAGCUCUUGCUAAAUGUUACUUGGCAAGUCUUCCUGAACCACUAGUCACUUUUGAGCUUUAUAAUGAGAUCAGGGGUGCUCGUACAAGCAUAAAUGCCCUUCGAAACAUUUUUAAGAAACUUCCAAACGUGAACUACAUGACCUUGGAGUUUACUACUGCCCUACUUCUCCGCGUAAGCCAAAAAGCACUUCUCAAUAAGAUGGAUGCUCGUAGCCUUUCUAUGGAGAUGACUCCUAUAAUAAUGUGGCAAAAUGACAGGCGGCCAGAAUUCUAUCGGGAAUAUUGGGAUUAUCAUUCUAAAAGCUCUUCUGCAAAGUCUUUAAAUAAUACACCACCUACUUACAGUGCAUGGGACAUGCUUUCAGAAGAGAGUGAUGAUACGGAUGCUUCCUCUCACAUUCCUUUAGAUGAUGGCGUUCCAGUUGACUUCAAUGCUGUCGAGGUCGUUCAGUGCCUCAUAGAACAUCAUAAUGAAAUUUUUACUGAUGCUAACGAAACAAUUUGGAGAUAAAUCAACAACCCUUUUUCUUGAGGCGCCAAAUAUUCUUGGGUGGAUUCUGAUACAAGUCUAUCUCGUAGAGGAAGAUUUAUAUCUGAGAGUUGUUUUCUUAGUUCGAUUGACCAGGUAGGUAAAUUAAACUCAAAAUUUAUUCGGAUGUGAACAAUUAGCACAGUGAGAGAAACUACACUGUGAUGCACAGAAUGGAGCACAUUUAGGAAUGCUUUAGUCAAUCUUUUCAAGUUUUCUUUUGUAAUAACCUACCAGUAUUUGCAUGGGUUUCAAUUUACUGAUUUGAAGAUAGAUAUUUCAGUUGUACAUACAACUAGAACUGCUAUUAUAUUAAGUUUGUGAAUAAUAACUAUAUUUACAAUUGAAGAAUCAACAUUACUUUACUCUUCUUCCGGAAUUUUUCUACGCCCCUUGUUCACACUAUAAAUUUGCUUUCAUAAAUAUUUGUGUACCACAGUUUAAUAUCAAUGGGUCCCCACCCUGUUUAUAAGAGCGUGUUGGCAUGGUGUGCAAUAAAUAGCGGUAGUAUGAAAAUUGACCUGGUGGUAAGGAAAAUUUUCCCUCUUCUUCGUACUUGGAUUUCUGUAAUUGAUCAAUGGAGGAAGCCGCAGUUCAAACUUGUAUAGGAUUUUUUUGUUUUAAAAAAUUUCUUUUAUAUUUAUGCGUGUUCAAGCCAGCUUGCACGCACCUCAACUAAUUUUACAGGACAAUCUGCUACCCUACAACAUUUGGAUUAAACCCUUGUAUAGUAUAUUCAUACUGCAAGCUUUUCUGAACCCUUGUAUGCAAGCUUUUAUUCUAGAAAUUUCCUAAUGCUUGACAUAAUAUUUCCCUCCGAGUACCAAACUUGGUGAUUCUUAUAAAUUAAAUUAGACACUGGUCUUAUCUAACCGUUUGUAUUCUUAUUUCCAAUAAUAUUUAACCCUCCAUAUGAAAUAACACAUUUCUUUCUGAAGAUCAUUUGAUAAGGAUGAUAGACAUAUUGACAUGUUUAGACGUUUAGAAGAUAGCAAAAAUGGGAGUGAUUUCCUUCUUUUCCAGUUCUGAUAUUCUAUAACAGAAUUUGAGUUUGGACUACUAUCGUCCAAGUUUAAGGACCCAUUAUGAUGGGAGAUGAUGAAGUGAUUUUGGGUGUGUUUGAACAUUAACGAUCAUCAAUGGAUCCUUCUAAAUACGAUGACGACUUCUGUGACUACUAUUUCGAAGUAUGUCCUAGAUUAGCUUUGUUUUAUAUGAAUAAGUUGUUGAACUUCCCAUGGUCCUGCUCUCUUUCUCAUCCUUAGGACUUGGGCCUAGUCUCUUCGUUGUACUUCAUCUCUAUGUAGUGUCUAUUCAUUUUCUUAAUGAAGAAGCAAAAAAACUUCUCAGCUCGUGCUGAUUUAGAACCGUUUAGUCCAAUGAUAGUGAGCAGGAAAUAAGAAAAAACAGAUCAGCAAAGCCCACCAAAGCAAUAUAGCAAACUAAUAAAUUAAGACGUGAAUGCAUUGCCUUUUGAGGCAGUGGAGUUUAGAUAUCAAUGUUUCAAGUUACAAUCUUUUGCUUUGUCAUGAUUAAAUGCCUAGUUCAAUGAAGGAGGAGAUCGAUCAAAGAAGUCAAAUAAAUCAGCUGUGAAAUCAUCAAAGCAAUCAUCUGGGGUUGUAUAGGAAUUGUUUGUUUCCAAAGUCUCACCUGGUUCGAACACGUCUUGCACAUUGCACGGAAUGUGGUUUGGUGCUAGUCCAUGGCAGUCGGGAAACAUUCCGAUCUCUUGCGAGGAUUGAGCAAAUUGGGAGAAACAGCAAUGAGAAAAAGGGUCAAAGGGUGCUACCAUGUGUAUGGUUGAAGUUCCAAAUAUUUGAUUUUCAUUUUCCAUUGUCGAUGAUUGUUCAUCCGGCUGAGACGAGCUGGAGCUAGGAACCUGCAAAUACAUCAGCCAUACUACCAAAAAAUCACCAAAAUGAUAGUCUAAUCUUCAUUACAGACGAAGGUUGGACAUCUACAAGAAGUUGUAAGUUGGUAACUAUUAACUUAAGAAACCAAUUAUCUUCCAUUUAACUUAAAUAGAAAACUAUUUUACCUCUAA